rnacentral:rRNA from 1 species
UACGUAGGGGCCAAGCGUUGUCCGGAUUUAUUGGGCGUAAAGAGCUCGUAGGCGGUUCGGUAAGUCAGCUGUGAAAUCUCCACGCUCAACGUGGAGGGGUCAGCUGAUACUGCCGUGACUUGAGUCUGGUAGGGGAGUGCGGAAUUCCCGGUGUAGCGGUGAAAUGCGCAGAUAUCGGGAGGAACACCAGUGGCGAAGGCGGCACUCUGGGCCAGUACUGACGCUGAGGAACGAAAGCGUGGGGAGCGAACAGG